UGGCUCAGUGGUUAAGAGCACUGGCUGUUCUUCCAGAGGAACUGGGUUCAACUCCCAG
rnacentral:tRNA from 1 species